AGCUCCAAUAGCGUAUAUUAAAGUUGUUGCAGUUAAAAAGCUCGUAGUUGAAUUUCUGUCCAUCGGUCGCCAGCACAUUUGUGUUUGUGCGCCUGGUGGGCAUCCUUCUAAGCGUUCCUUACGGACACGUUUAGAGCCUUUACUGUGAGAAAAUUAGAGCGUUCCAAGCAAGCGAUUGCUUUGAAUACUACAGCAUGGAAUAAUACUAUAGGACUUUUGUGCCUAUUUGUUGGUGUUAGGCCGAAAGUAAUGAUUAAUAGGGGCAGUUGGGGGCAUUCGUAUUUGACAGCCAGAGGUGAAAUUCGUGGACUUGUCAAAGACGAACUACUGCGAAAGCAUUUGCCAAGGAUGUUCCCA
rnacentral:rRNA from 1 species